AAGACCUUACUUCAUAGGAUCAUUUCUAUAGUAAGCUCUUCACCAGGCUAUCACAAUACGUGAGCUGACCCCAUCCACGAAGAUGAGAUGUGGCGCGGUGCCCUGAGCGUGAGAGAGGCGAUGACUGUCUGGUCAUCAUAGACCCAGAGCCCAGGCCCGCCAGACCUUCCUCAAAUUCUCAAGGAUGAAACUUUGGGACAAUGUAGAGUUCAUAUCGGC